rnacentral:rRNA from 1 species
GUUAUAUGCAGUAGCAAGCUUAACUUUAAUGAGGUAGGCGAAGGGAACGAGUCUUAAUAGGCGAUAAGUUUCUGCGUAUAGACCCGAAGCCGGGCGAUCUAUCCAUGACCAGGAUGAAAGUGAGGUAACACUUACUGGAGGUCCGAACCCACUCCUUUGAAAAAGUAGGGGAUGAGUUGUGGAUAGGAGUGAAAGGCUAAUCAAGCCCGGAGAUAGCUGGUUCUCCUCGAAAGCUAUUUAGGUAGCGCCUCGUGCAAUUUACUCUUGGGGGUAGAGCACUGUUUAGGCUAGGGGGCUCGAAGAGCUUACCAACCCUAUGCAAACUCCGAAUACCAAGAAGUAUUAUCACGGGAGACACACGGCGGGUGCUAACGUCCGUCGUGAAAAGGGAAACAACCCUGACCGCCAGCUAAGGUCCCAAAAUUGUAGUUAAGUGGGAAACGAUGUGGGAAGGCAUAGACAGCCAGGAGGUUGGCUUAGAAGCAGCCAUCCUUUAAAGAAAGCGUAAUAGCUCACUGGUCGAGUCGGCCCGCGCGGAAGAUUUAACGG